UGAUGGAGUGUGUUCUUUACCCGGGAAGU
rnacentral:piRNA from 1 species